rnacentral:rRNA from 1 species
GAUGAACGCUGGCGGCGUGCCUAAUACAUGCAAGUAGAACGCUGAAGGAAGGAGCUUGCUCUUUCCGGAUGAGUUGCGAACGGGUGAGUAACGCGUAGGUAACCUGCCUGGUAGCGGGGGAUAACUAUUGGAAACGAUAGCUAAUACCGCAUAACAGUAGAUGUUGCAUGAUAUCUACUUAAAAGGUGCAAUUGCACCACUACCAGAUGGACCUGCGUUGUAUUAGCUAGUUGGUGAGGUAACGGCUCACCAAGGCGACGAUACAUAGCCGACCUGAGAGGGUGAUCGGCCAAACUGGGACUGAGACACGGCCCAGACUCCUACGGGAGGCAGCAGUAGGGAAUCUUCGGCAAUGGACGGAAGUCUGACCGAGCAACGCCGCGUGAGUGAAGAAGGUUUUCGGAUCGUAAAGCUCUGUUGUAAGAGAAGAACGAGUGUGAGAGUGGAAAGUUCACACUGUGACGGUAUCUUACCGGAAAGGGACGGCUAACUACGUG